rfam:Xiphophorus maculatus strain JP 163 A Contig53.17, whole genome shotgun sequence.
ACAAGGUGAUGACCUAUGAAUUGACAGCCAGUGAUUUCAACCAUCUGCCUGUCAGUUCUGUAGGCCACUGCUGCGU